CGUCAAGCCUCGACCAUCUCCCUGUCCCGGGCUGCCUGCUCGAUCAGUUAUGCCCUCGAUGCCUCGAUCGCAGGAGGCAGGGAUCGAUCACAUCCAGAGGAAACCGAACAGCGCGGGAUCUGGUUCGCAUCUAGAUCCGCUGACGCCGCGACGGGCGACACAGUAACAGGGACUGUUAGACAGAUGGGUUAUUUCCUCCUCGGUUAAAUAUCACAAUAUAGCAGUUCAACCGGAUAGGAGACGUGACUAGUUGAGUUAGACGGUUCGUCUAAUUGCCAAAUAUCGACGCAUAAUCUUCAAUUGAUAUCUGGUGCCAUAUGAAUAGGUCUAAUUUUUUAUAUAACCAAUUGUCAUGUAAGACAUUAUAUCAUAAUUGCUCUUUAGUUCAUUUUAGUAAGAUA